rnacentral:tRNA from 1 species
GGGCCAUUAGCUCAUCUGGUAGAGCAACUGACUCUUAAUCAGUGGGUGGCAGGUUCGAGUCCUGCAUGGCCCACCA